GACGAACGCUGGCGGCGUGCUUAACACAUGCAAGUCGAACGGAAAGGCCCUGCUUUUGUGGGGUGCUCGAGUGGCGAACGGGUGAGUAACACGUGAGUAACCUGCCCUUGACUUUGGGAUAACUUCAGGAAACUGGGGCUAAUACCGGAUAGGAGCUCCUGCUGCAUGGUGGGGGUUGGAAAGUUUCGGCGGUUGGGGAUGGACUCGCGGCUUAUCAGCUUGUUGGUGGGGUAGUGGCUUACCAAGGCUUUGACGGGUAGCCGGCCUGAGAGAGUGACCGGCCACAUUGGGACUGAGAUACGGCCCAGACUCCUACGGGAGGCAGCAGUGGGGAAUAUUGCACAAUGGGCGGAAGCCUGAUGCAGCAACGCCGCGUGCGGAAUGACGGCCUUCGGGUUGUAAACCGCUUUCGCCUGUGACGAAGCGUGAGUGACGGUAAUGGGUAAAGAAGCACCGGCUAACUACGUG
rnacentral:rRNA from 1 species